CGUAGGUGGUUCUGUAAGUCGGGUGUGAAAGCCCCGGGCUCAACCUGGGAAUUGCAUUCGAUACUGCGGAACUAGAGUAUGGUAGAGGGAAGUAGAAUUCCCGGUGUAGCGGUGAAAUGCGUAGAUAUCGGGAGGAAUACCAGUGGCGAAGGCGGCUUCCUGGACCAAUACUGACACUGAGGCGCGAAAGCGUGGGUAGCAAACA
rnacentral:rRNA from 1 species